AGCGUGGAGACAGGUGGUGCAUGGCUGUCGUCAGCUCGUGUCGUGAGAUGUUGGGUUAAGUCCCGCAACGAGCGCAACCCUCACCUCUUGUUGCCAUCAGGUCAUGCUGGGCACUCUAGAGGAACUGCCCCGGUCAACGGGGAGGAAUGCGGGGAUGACGUCAAGUCAUCAUGCCCCUUACGUCCUGGGCUACACACGUGCUACAAUGGCCGGUACAAAGGGAUGCCACACCGCGAGGUAGAGUUAAACCCAAAAAGCCGGUCUAAGUUCAGAUUGGAGUCUGCAACUCGACUCCAUGAAGGAGGAAUCGCUAGUAAUCGCGUAUCAGCACGACGCGGUGAAUACGUUCCCGGGCCUUGUACACACCGCCCGUCACACCACGAAAGCCUGCUGUACUCGAAGUCGCUGAG
rnacentral:rRNA from 1 species